AAAAAAAUCAACAACUUGUUAAUUGCAAAUAUUAAUCGGUAAAAGAGGGACGAAAGAUACGAGAGAGACAUUCAAACUCGUAAAUCGAAAAUAAACUUCUUUUUUUAUAUUGACAACGUCAUGGCUAAAAUGAGAAAAAUGACAAACAAAAUUACUGGUACACAAAACACAACAUAGUAAAAGAAAGAAUGCAACAUUAAUUCAACCAAAUACUGAAAGUGAUCUCAGGUGCUCCGGAGGUUGUUCAGAUCCUGCUUUAUAUGUGGCACCCGUCAUGUUGUUAAUGUUAGUACAAACCGGUUAUUUGGUAGGUCAAAUUAGUGAAAAGGGAACGGGAUUUUAGUAACGAAAAACGAAAAUAUCCACUAUCAUCU
rnacentral:lncRNA from 1 species